rnacentral:rRNA from 1 species
UUCGGUGGUGGAUUAGUGGCGAACGGGUGAGUAACACGUGGGCAAUCUGCCCUGCACUCUGGGACAAGCCCUGGAAACGGGGUCUAAUACCGGAUACGACCACCGCGGGCAUCCGAGUGGUUCGAAAGCUCCGGCGGUGCAGGAUGAGCCCGCGGCCUAUCAGCUUGUUGGUGAGGUAAUGGCUCACCAAGGCGACGACGGGUAGCCGGCCUGAGAGGGCGACCGGCCACACUGGGACUGAGACACGGCCCAGACUCCUACGGGAGGCAGCAGUGGGGAAUAUUGCACAAUGGGCGAAAGCCUGAUGCAGCGACGCCGCGUGAGGGAUGACGGCCUUCGGGUUGUAAACCUCUUUCAGCAGGGAAGAAGCGAAAGUGACGGUACCUGCAGAAGAAGCGCCGGCUAACUACGUGCCAGCAGCCGCGGUAAUACGUAGGGCGCAAGCGUUGUCCGGAAUUAUUGGGCGUAAAGAGCUCGUAGGCGGCUUGUCACGUCGGUUGUGAAAGCCCGGGGCUUAACCCCGGGUCUGCAGUCGAUACGGGCAGGCUAGAGUUCGGUAGGGGAGAUCGGAAUUCCUGGUGUAGCGGUGAAAUGCGCAGAUAUCAGGAGGAACACCGGUGGCGAAGGCGGAUCUCUGGGCCGAUACUGACGCUGAGGAGCGAAAGCGUGGGGAGCGAACAGGAUUAGAUACCCUGGUAGUCCACGCCGUAAACGGUGGGCACUAGGUGUGGGC